AUAAAUACAAGUCCGAACUUCAAGAUAUAUUGUGUUCUCAUAAACAAAACAAAAAAAUUCUCAAGUAUUAUUGCAUUGUGGAUAUGGAUUACUCAAAAACUUCAGCUAUCAAAUUUGCAAUCUUACUAAUUUUUGUGAUUACCAUUGCCUCAGAUAUGUGCACGAAAUCAGAUGCAAGGUUGGGUCCCGUUGUCUCUCUUCCUUGUGAUUUUACCGUGGAAUGUGAAGAUGCUAAUCCUCAUCAUGGUUGCAAAUGUGUUUUUCAUCAUUGUACAUGUUGAGCAAAUCCUCAACAAUUAAUGAACAAUGCCACCAUGUUGUUAACCUAGACAAUAUUGUGAUACAAUUUCAAAUAAUUAUUAAUAAAGAAUUGCAUUGUAUUGA